GCUGAUCAUACAGCUUUGCUCUACCAUCUCUCUUACCUGUAUUUGGCUAAGUUCCCCAGGUUGCAAACGAUUCUCAAAGAGUGUGCUGUUGAAACACAGCAUGUGUUUGAGUCCUCCGAGGCUCUUCUUCUGAAGUGUGUGGACACAAGUAACCAAAUGGUUUAUUCGCUGUUACCGGAGCUGAAACUCGCCGUUGAAAAAGAUGAUACCAUUUUGACUACGAUAACCUUGGAAAAAGCAAAAGGAUGGAUCACAGAAAUUGUUAACAGAGUGAAAGAAAUUUUGGACAGAUAUGAAAAACACACUCACAGUGUGGCUUCAUGCACCAGUGAUGUGAUUAAUGAAAAUGCUGGGACAGAAAAAAUUACUAAGGAGAUAGAGGCUCUGGAGAAGGUGGUGAGUGAUCUUCAGAUGGAACUGAGGCAAACCUUAGAGGAAAUUGGACGGAUUGACGCACAGAUUAGACGGAAAAACCCAAACAGUUUUUUUAAUUUCAAAGCUGCUUCUAGCAAAAUGUCUGGUUUGUCAGUCCUGGCUGCCGCUGUACCAUUUGCCAGAACCAUUGUUAAAUCCAUGUCUAAACCUAUAACUGGUCCUGUAAAACCUCUGUUCAAUCAAAGAGCUCAACUCGUUGCUCAGAGGUCAAACCUGAAAAGCCAGCAGUACAACAUCCAAGUCAAGCUGACUGAUGCUCAGCUAAAAUUAACAAACAUGAAGACAGAAAAGGGUUCAGAUCCUGUCCAUCUGAGUGACGUCCAAAAGUGGCUUUAUCAAAUCCAACAAACUCUUAUUCAACAUACUGUGUUCUGGAAAUCAGUUCAAGUAUUUCUGGAGGCUGUCAAUGACGAGACCUUUGCUAAUGAACACUUCAUUGGAGAGAGUGAAUUGAAGGAGAUUUUUCUGACAGAUAUUGAUUUAGC
ensembl:lncRNA